rnacentral:lncRNA from 1 species
AUGGCUGGGGGCACCUGCGGCCAGAGGGGCCUGAGGGGGCGGACCUGCACCCCCUCCUGCCCGCCCCCCUGCACCAGGCUGGCCGGCCCCUUCCUGGCUCGCGCCCCCCACCCUACCCGUGGUUGCUAUGGGGGCCAUCGUGACAGGUGGCUCAGAUUUGGGAGAAGGAGAAGGAGGGGAGGGGGAGGUGUGGCGAGCCCGCCCCGGGGAGGAGAGGAGUGCAGGUGGGACCCAGUUGGCGUCUGUCCUGAUGUAACACGGGCCUGGCUCGGCUGCAGCCUGCACGCUCUGCCCUCCUUGCUGUGUGACCUUGGGCACUGUGGUCCGCGGUCCGCGCCCAGUGGGUGCUCGGUGGCCGGCGGCCCCGCCCAGCACUUGGUGAGCCGCGGGGCUUGGCGACCGGCUGGCUGCGUAGUAUUUGGUAUUCAGCAGACCUCCCCGGCCAGGAGUCACCGGGCGCAGGCGGCAGGCGGCAGGCGGCAGGCGUGUCAUUAUUCAGCGCCGUACCUUGUUUACGCACGGUCCAGUGAGCUUGCGGGUCUGCUGGCCGCCGUGGGGUCCAGGCUCCCCGGCAGGCAGCCCACCCCGGGCGGAUGGGGCACAGCCUGGGGACACAGGCACUCGGGAGACCCACCGAGACCCCUUGGGGGGGCUGCGCGCAGCACCUUCGGGGAGGCUGCUGCAUUCCACCAGCAGUGGCCGCCGCCCCGGGCAGCGUGGCCUCCUGGCACAGGCCAGCCCCGGUGUGAUUUGGUCGCCACUAGGCUGACCGCAGUGGGUGAGCCAGGAGUGGAGGGGCGCAGCUCAGACCUGUUGGGGGGCCGGUCUGCAGGCAGCCCAGGGUCCUGGGUGCUGGUGGUCCCUCUGGGGCAGUUGGGGUGCACAUCCCCAGGGACUGGGCCUCUGCAGUCAUGGUUUGGCCCAUCCCAGCUUCAUCCAAUCCCAGUGUCUUCCAAAUCCCUGCUAACCUUCAGGCAGGAGGGACACGUCAAAUAUAGAGGGCAGCUGGGCGGGGGUGGGGUGGGUCUCCACUGCUUGCCAGUUUAUUUUUAA